rnacentral:rRNA from 1 species
GGACUACACGGGUUUCUAAUCCCGUUCGCUCCCCUGGCUUUCGCGCCUCAGCGUCAGAAAAGGUCCAGCAGUCCGCUUUCGCCACCGGCGUUCCUUCCGAUAUCAACGCAUUUCACCGCUCCACCGGAAGUUCCGACUGCCCCUACCCCACUCAAGACCUCCAGUAUCCAAGGCACUUUUCCGGUUAAGCCGAAAGCUUUCACCUCGGACUGAGAGGCCCGCCUACGCGCCCUUUAAGCCCAGUGAUUCCGAACAACGUUCGCACGGUUCGUCUUACCGCGGCGGCUGGCAC